rnacentral:rRNA from 1 species
CCUACGGGAGGCAGCAGUGAGGAAUAUUGGUCAAUGGACGAGAGUCUGAACCAGCCAAGUAGCGUGAAGGAUGACUGCCCUAUGGGUGGAAAACUUCUUUUUUAGGGGAGUAAAUUGUUCUACGUGUGUGUUCUCGUAUGUACCGUAUGAAUUAGGAUAGCCUCACCUCGUGCCAGGAGCGGCGGUAAUACGGUGGGUCCGAGCGUUAUCCGGAUUGAUUGGGUUUAAAGUGAGCGUAGGUGGAUUGUUAAGUCAGUUGUGAAAGUUUACGGCUCAACCGUAAAAUUGCAGUUGAAACUGGCAGUCUGGAGUACAGUAGAGGUGAGUGGAAUUCGUGGUGUAGCGGUGAAAUGCUUAGAUAUCACGAAGAACUCCGAUGGCGAAGGCAGCUCACUGGACUGCAACUGACACUGAGGCUCGAAAGUGUGGGGAUCAAACAGGAUUAGAUACCCGGGUAGUC